AAAUCCCCCAAUCAUCUGAGGUGCGAGCAAAAGGUGCCCGUGCGGAGAGGCGUUCUUGAAUCUGAGUCUCUAUUACGGUACUAUGUCUACUUCAACCGGUGCAGGUGUGACUAUUAGAGGCGGCACAAGUGAAGGCAACAAUGUAUCUGGCUGGAAAAAAUUCCGCAAGGGCGACCGAUCUCGUAGGAUUUGGAUUGCACGGGAGGAAGAAAUUCUGGCUGCAUCGUUGGUAGAACUUGUGGCCCGUGGGUGAAAAUCAGACAAUGGUUUUCGCUCGGGUUACCUUACAAAAAUUGAAGACAACAUCCGAGCUGAAUUUCCCGAAUUGGACAUCAAGGGACAGCUACAUAUCGUGUCCAAGAUUACGGCCUGGAAGAAAAACUACACCAGCCUUCGAGGCAUACUCUCAAGGAGAGGUGUUGGUUUCAAUGCUGAUGGUGAUUACAAAAUUGACAUCAACGACGACCAGUGGGAACAAGUCGUGCAUGCUGAUAAGAACGCCAAAGGAAUGCGCAACAAAUCGUGGCUGUUCUGGGAAGAUUGGAAAAGUAUUUUUGGUAAGGACCGUGCAACGGGUGUGGGGGGCGAGGACAUUGAGGUGGCAGCUGCCACCUUACAGGCAAACCGGGCCAGUGGCAGUCAAUGCAAUGAAAAUGACUACCAUCCUACCUUCGAGGAUUUCUUACCUAAUCAGAGUCCCAAAGGGGUCGAGGGGAUGGAGAAUCAACAUAGCAGCUCAGCACACACUGAACAUCUGGUCUCUAACACCAAAUCUGGCACCCAAAAAUGAAAGGCUCCUGCUACUGAUGAUGCGUUGAUGGAUUUCCUAGGAAAUCUAAAUGCUCAAACAAACGCGCGCUUGGAUGUGAUUGCUUCAAGAAUUGGCUACGAGUUUGAUAUUGGGAAGGCGAGGCAAGAGAUCUUCGACAAGCUCUGUGAUGUGGAUGGACUAACUCUGGCUCAGAGGUACAAGCUGUGUAAUAUCUUAGCUGACAAACCACAACGUAUGGAGGUUUUCAUGGGCAUGAAGGAACAUGCUAAACUGGGGUACUUACUAAUGCUGUUCUAGGAGAGCCGCAAAGCAGUUUGAAGUGGUUGUAGGUGGCUGAUGGUGUUUUGAAGUUGGGUAAGCAUGUUUUGAAUGUAAAUAUUCCACUAAUCAAGUUAGAAUGCUAUGUUAGUGUGUAUGAUGCAGCCCUUAAAACUUUAGCUCGGGUUGGUCUAUGUUUGGGUAACAAGCUGCAAUAUGUUUGCAGAACACCGCUUGUACAUCCAUUCCUAUUUUGGUUUUUGGUGUUUCAUGGCAAGGUCCAUAGUAGCCAUAGCAUUCUCGUUUUGAUUAGUGUCUGCUUUAGGACUUAUGAUUACCUUCAUUGGAUGUGUUAAUGUGGAAUUAUGGUUGAUGGAAGUUCAAUGAAUUAGGUUUAUCUACCGUU